rnacentral:rRNA from 1 species
CAGUAGCCGCGGUAAUACGUAGGGUGCGAGCGUUAAUCGGAAUUACUGGGCGUAAAGCGUGCGCAGGCGGUUCGUUAAGACAGAUGUGAAAUCCCCGGGCUUAACCUGGGAACUGCAUUUGUGACUGGCGAGCUAGAGUAUGGCAGAGGGGGGUAGAAUUCCACGUGUAGCAGUGAAAUGCGUAGAGAUGUGGAGGAAUACCGAUGGCGAAGGCAGCCCCCUGGGCCAAUACUGACGCUCAUGCACGAAAGCGUGGGGAGCAAACAGGAUUAGAUACCCCAGUAGUCCCUGUCUCUUAUAA